rnacentral:rRNA from 1 species
UAGCCUCCAGGCUCUGGCAAAUCGAUUCCCCGCCAACCUCCUCAUGCUGAUCUUUCCCCCGAUGCUCCGUAUCCAGUAUUCCAAUUUCUCUAGCCCGCGGGUCACACACCUCCAGCUCCAUUGGUCCACCCCCCGUCCACACACCCAGCACGGCAGCACCUCCGAAUCACCUCCACGUCCAGAGUGCAUUUCCAGCCCCGUCUCCUUGCAGUCUCUGGCUUGCUUUGAAAUUUGUUUGCGCCUGGUGAUUCCAGGCUCAGAGGAGUUGGACAUCCAUCUACGGCCAGGUGACCACAGGUUGUGGUUGAAAACACUUGGCUUACAAAAUCAAGUAAAAACGACAAGAUGGAAGGCCGGGUUCCCUUCAGAGAUAUUACAAAUGUUCACCCGACAACUUCACCAAAAGGGAACUAUUCUGUCGUUGGAGAGCAGAAUGAUCCUUUAGUUGAAACCAAAAAUGCUACAUAAAUGAAUUCUUCCCAGCGCAAGCGUUACCGUGACCGGGAUAGAUAUCUGCAAAUGACUCCAUAUCAGAGGGAAGCCUAUUUGCAAAGGAAUCGUGAGUACAAAAGAAUGAGGCGUGAGUGCAGCGCAAGUUGUAGCAAUACACAACCAGCACCCCAGCAGAAAACUACAAGAGCUAAUAAGAACAUAUGCAUGACAGGAAAGGAAGUCGUGGCCAGUUCAAACUAUGAGAAGCAUGAUUCAGUAUUUACUCAACUGGGGUCUUCAUCAAAAGGAAAACAAGUGGCGGAUGUUGGUGGUUCUGGCACAAGUCGUCCAAAAGCUGGAACUCGAUUCACCAUCAGUCCAUCUGGCAUAUAUUAUCAUCAAUAUCCUCGGCUAUAUGGAGGAUUUAUAGGGAUGCAAGGUUUAUAUCACCUCCAGAGGCUAUAUGGAGGAUUUAUUCUUUCAAUCUAAGUGAGAUGUCACCUCCAGUUUUGCAGUUACAGGUCCAGUUCCUUCCACGAAUUCCUCUCUAUCCUUCAGAGGAUGAUGUUCUCCCCUUCAAGUUCAAAAGAAAGCAAUUUCCAAUUCGGCUUAGUUUUGCCAUGACAAUCAACAAAGCCCAGGGUCAAACCAUCCCAAAUGUUGGCAUCUACCUUCCUGAGCCGGUGUUCUCUCAUGGCCAACUCUAUGUCGCUCUGUCUAGAGGGCUAUCAAGACAAACAACUAGAGUACUUGCAAAGCCAAAUAAGGAUAUUGACCCAUCAGGGAAAAGCACAAAAAAUAUUGUCUACAGGGAUGUUUUGGUAUAA